UACGUAGGGUGCAAGCGUUAAUCGGAAUUACUGGGCGUAAAGCGUGCGCAGGCGGUUAUAUAAGACAGUUGUGAAAUCCCCGGGCUCAACCUGGGAACUGCAUCUGUGACUGUAUAGCUAGAGUACGGUAGAGGGGGAUGGAAUUCCGCGUGUAGCAGUGAAAUGCGUAGAGAUGCGGAGGAACACCGAUGGCGAAGGCAGCCCCCUGGGCUGACACUGACGCUCAGGCACGAAAGCGUGGGGAGCAAACAGG
rnacentral:rRNA from 1 species